CAGUAGCCGCGGUAAUACGAAGGGUGCAAGCGUUACUCGGAAUUACUGGGCGUAAAGCGUGCGUAGGUGGUGGUUUAAGUCCGUUGUGAAAGCCCUGGGCUCAACCUGGGAAUUGCAGUGGAUACUGGGUCACUAGAGUGUGGUAGAGGAUAGUGGAAUUUCCGGUGUAGCAGUGAAAUGCGUAGAGAUCGGAAGGAACAUCUGUGGCGAAGGCGACUAUCUGGGCCAACACUGACACUGAGGCACGAAAGCGUGGGGAGCAAACAGGAUUAGAUACCCGCGUAGUCCCUGUCCUUAUACC
rnacentral:rRNA from 1 species